CUCUCGAGAAGGCGCGGGGCGGGCUGUCCGGCCCGCAGGGCGGUCGAGCCCGCGGCGCCAUGGCUCACGUCGGCUCCCGCAAGCGCUCGAGGAGUCGCAGCCGGUCCCGGGGACGGGGGUCGGAAAAGAGAAAGAAGAAGAGCAGGAAAGACACCUCGAGGAACUGCUCGGCCUCCACAUCCCAAGGUCGCAAGGCCAGCACGGCCCCUGGGGCGGAGGAGAGAAGCAAGCAGAAGGCCCGGAGGAGAACAAGAUCCAGCUCCUCCUCCUCUUCUUCCAGUUCUUCUAGCUCCUCUUCUUCCUCCUCGUCCUCCUCCUCUUCCUCCAGUGAUGGCCGGAAGAAGCGGGGGAAGUACAAGGACAAGAGGAGGAAGAAGAAGAAGAAGAGGAAGAAGCUGAAGAAGAAGGGCAAGGAGAAGGCGGAAGCACAGCAGGUGGAGCAUCAUCCGCAAGGUGGUGGACCCUGAGACGGGGCGCACCAGGCUUAUUAAGGGAGAUGGCGAGGUCCUAGAGGAAAUCGUAACCAAAGAACGACACAGAGAGAUCAACAAGCAAGCCACCCGAGGGGACUGCCUGGCCUUCCAGAUGCGAGCUGGGUUGCUUCCCUGAGGGCCCCCGCUGGCCAAGGCCUGUGGACGACGCUGGCGGCCCAGCCUGGGCAGGUUUCAGGGUGCCAGUGGGAAGCCUGAUGGGUGCUGGUGGCCUUUCCCCCGUGGAUUGGUCUCUGGCCCAGCCCAGUCUCUUCUCAGGGGCAGGGGGUGGAGGUUGGGGUCACCGGCCUGCUUGGCACCCCCAUCUGAAAGAGCAGCACUUCUCAGCUAUUAAAGGCCCC
rnacentral:lncRNA from 1 species